rnacentral:rRNA from 1 species
GACGAACGCUGGCGGCGUGCUUAACACAUGCAAGUCGAACGGAAAGGCCCUGCUUUUGUAGGGUGCUCGAGUGGCGAACGGGUGAGUAACACGUGAGUAACCUGCCCUUGACUUUGGGAUAACUUCAGGAAACUGGGGCUAAUACCGGAUAGGAGCUCCUGCUGCAUGGUGGGGGUUGGAAAGUUUCGGCGGUUGGGGAUGGACUCGCGGCUUAUCAGCUUGUUGGUGGGGUAGGGGCUUACCAAGGCUUUGAGGGGUAGCCGGCCUGAGAGGGUGACCGGCGACAAUGCGCCUGAGAUACGGCGCAGUCGCCUACGGUCCGCAGCAGUGGGGAAUAUUGCACAAUGGGCGGAAGUCUGAUGCAGCGACGUCGCGUGCGGGAUGACGGCUUUCGGGUUGUAAACCGCUUUCGCCUGUGCCGAAGCGUGAGUGACGGUAAUGGGUAAAGAAGCACCGGCUAACUACGUG